UCGGUCCUGAGUACAGUGGCGCACGGGUGAGUAACACGUGAAUCAUCUACCUUCGAGUGGGGAAUAACUGAGAGAAAUCUUAGCUAAUACCGCAUAAUACCUACGGGUCAAAGCAGUAAUGCGCUUGAAGAGGAGUUCGCGGCAGAUUAGUUAGUUGGCGGGGUAAUGGCCCACCAAGACGAUGAUCUGUAUCCGGCCUGAGAGGGCGCACGGACACACUGGAACUGAAACACGGUCCAGACUCCUACGGGAGGCAGCAGUGGGGAAUUUUGCGCAAUGGGGGAAACCCUGACGCAGCAACGCCGCGUGGAGGAUGAAAUAUCUUGGUAUGUAAACUCCUUUCGAUGGGGAAGAUAAUGACGGUACCCAUAGAAGAAGCCCCGGCUAACUUCGUGCCAGCAGCCGCGGUAAUACGAGGGGGGCAAGCGUUGUUCGGAAUUAUUGGGCGUAAAGGGUGCGUAGGCGGUUUGACAAGUCUCACGUGAAAUCUUCGGGCUCAACCCGAAGUCUGCAUGGGAAACUGUCGGGCUUGAGUAUGGGAGAGGUGAGUGGAAUUUCCGGUGUAGCGGUGAAAUGCGUAGAUAUCGGAAGGAACACCUGUGGCGAAAGCGGCUCACUGGACCAUAACUGACGCUGAUGCACGAAAGCUAGGGGAGCAAACAGGAUUAGAUACCCUGGUAGUCCUAGCCCUAAACGAUGAUUGUUUGAUGUGGGGGGUACCCAAUCCUCCCGUGUCGAAGCUAACGCGAUAAACAAUCCGCCUGGGGAGUACGGUCGCAAGGCU
rnacentral:rRNA from 1 species